rnacentral:rRNA from 1 species
GAUGAACGCUGGCGGCGUGCCUAAUACAUGCAAGUCGAGCGAACGGACGAGAAGCUUGCUUUUCUGAUGUUAGCGGCGGACGGGUGAGUAACACGUGGAUAACCUACCUAUAAGACUGGGAUAACUUCGGGAAACCGGAGCUAAUACCGGAUAAUAUUUUGAACCGCAUGGUUCAAAAGUGAAAGACGGUCUUGCUGUCACUUAUAGAUGGAUCCGCGCUGCCUUAGCCAGUUGGUAAGGUAAAGGCUUACCAAGGCAACGAUGCAUAGCUGACCUGAGAGGGGGAUCGGCCACACUGGAAAUGAGACACGGUCCAGAAUCCGACGGGAGGCAGCAGUAGGGAAUCUUCCGCAAUGGGCGAAAGCCUGACGGAGCAACGCCGCGUGAGUGAUGAAGGUCUUCGGAUCGUAAAACUCUGUUAUUAGGGAAGAACAUAUGUGUAAGUAACUGUGCACAUCUUGACGGUACCUAAACAGAAAGCCACGGCUAACUACGU